UCCACGCCGUAAACGAUGGAUACUCGUUCUUGGCAAUACACAGUCAGGGACUGAGCGAAAGCAUUAAGUAUCCCACCUGGGGAGUACGUUCGCAAGAAUGAAACUCAAAGGAAUUGACGGGGGCCCGCACAAGCGGAGGAACAUGUGGUUUAAUUCGAUGAUACGCGAGGAACCUUACCUGGGCUUAGAUGUCAGGCAUUUUCGGAUGUAGUCUGUCGAAAGACAGCUUAAACUGGCAAGGUGCUGCAUGGUUGUCGUCAGCUCGUGCCGUGAGGUGUCGGG
rnacentral:rRNA from 1 species